AUGAUCUGUCUGGGGGUCUUUUUCAUUUUGGCAGCUUUCUCAGGUGUCAGCUCCCAGAUCCAGCUGACCCAGUCUGGGGCAGAAAACAAAAAGCCUGGAGAGUCUGUGAGGGUGACGUGCAAAACCUCCGGCUACACCUUUACCGGCUAUACCAUUAACUGGCUACGGCAAACUCCUGGGAAAGGACUGGAGUGGAUCGGACUUAUCUAUCCCAGCACUGGUGGCACAGUCUAUGCCCAGGCCUUCCAGGGGCGAUUCACCAUCACCAGGGACAACUCCAUAAGCACGACCUAUCUACAGCUGGGCAGCCUGAGAACCGACGACACAGCCACGUAUUACUGUGCUCGGCACACACCUGUCACAGCAGCAAAACUGGCUAUGGGCUACUUUGGGGAGGAUUCUGCACUCUCUACUGGUGGAGAUUGGUGGCACUGGCUCAGGCAGCCCCCAGGAAAAGGGCUGGUGUGGCUGGCAUUGAUAGACAGAUAUGGGAACACCCACUAUCUCCCUGACAUUCAAAAUCGAACCACCAUCACUGUGAACCCUUCCAAGGAUGAGUUCUACCUGCGAGUGGACAGCCUGAGUCCACAAGACACAGCAACAUACUACUGUGCUAGGAGCACCUACCGGAUGUAUAAACCACCAUGA